AUGGACGAGGACGGCGCGCGGGAGGCGGGGAAGGAGCAGGUCGUGCUGAUGUGGGGCUACCUCCCCGGCGUCUCGCCGCAGCGCUCGCCGCUGCUGGGCCCCGUGCCCGUCAGGCUGCCCCUGGCGGCGGCCGGCGACGCGUGGAGGGAUGUCUGCGGCGGCGGGUGCGGCUUCGCCAUGGCCAUCUCCGGUGACGCCGCCCUCCCUUCUCAAUUUUUGCUCCGUUUGUGUUCUGGUACUCCCGGUGCGUUGGUUGUGCUCGUCUUUCCAUUUGGCGGCGCAGAUCUGCUCGAGUCUGGAAAACUCCUCACCUGGGGCUCUACUGACGAUAUGGGUCAAAGUUAUGUGACGGCUGGGAAGCACGAGGAGACUCCAGAGGCUUUUCCUCUUCCUAGUGAUGUUGCGAUAGCGAGGGCUGAUGCUGGGUGGGCUCAUUGUGUUGCAAUAACCGAUGAAGGGGUUGUCUAUACAUGGGGUUGGAAAGAAUGUGUUCCAACUGGAAGGGUCAUUGCAGAUCAAGCUUCAGUUGGAACUUUGGAGAAGGAUGAAAGACAGAGCGCAAUUGCCAACAACCAAGAUAUAUCACAUAACAAAGGCAACUCCAUUGCAGUGAGCCCCAGGUCACAGGCGUCUAGGACAAGCAGUGGAGCAGCAUCUGGUCCUUCUGAAAGUAGAGGUACCGAGGAUAGCACCAAGAGGCGACGGUUGUCUUCAGCUAAACAAGGAAAUGACAGUUCGACAUCUGGUGAUGAAAACCUUUCUGCACCACCUUGUGUUGUGACAUUUAAUACUGGGGUGAAAAUAACGGCAGUAGCUGCUGGUGGUCGCCAUACAUUAGCAUUAUCAGAUUUUGGUCAGGUAUGGGGUUGGGGAUAUGGAGGAGAAGGGCAACUGGGUCUGGGGUCCAGAAUUCGUACAGUUUCCUCCCCUCACCCUAUACCUUGCAUUGAAUCAACAUCGUAUGGCAAGGAUCGGCUAUCAGCUAUGAAAGGCAACAAAAACGCUGAAGGGCAAAUUAAUAAAGCAACAGGAAAUCGUGUCACGGCCAUUGCGUGUGGAGGCCGCCAUAGUGUUGUGGUAACGGAUUCAGGAGCACUUCUUGCAUUUGGGUGGGGACUGUACGGGCAGUGUGGACAGGGGAAUACAGAUGAUGUGUUGAGCCCAACAUGUGUAUCAGCUAUUCUGGGAGUCAAGAUGCAAGAUGUUGCCGCAGGGUUAUGGCAUACAGUAUCCAUAUCUGCAGAUGGUGAUGUCUAUUCGUUUGGAGGCAACCAGUUCGGGCAGCUGGGGAUUGGUUCUGAUCAAGCUGAGACUAUACCAAAACUGGUAGAUGCCCCCAGCUUGGAAAAUAAGAAUGCAAGAUCAGUGUCUUGUGGAGCUCGUCAUAGUGCAAUAAUAACAGAUGAGGGCGAAGUCUUCUGCUGGGGAUGGAACAAGUACGGCCAGUUGGGCCUCGGCGAUUCCAUGGACAGAAACGUGCCCUGCAUCGUACCCGUGGACGAGUACCACCCGCUGAACGUGUCGUGCGGCUGGUGGCACACCUUAGUGCUCGCGGAGUCCCCGACGUGA
rnacentral:rRNA from 1 species